UUACAUUAAACCUGAAAUAUUUCUAUAUAUUAGAAAAACUUAAGUUUCGACAUGUCUAUUUACAUGUCAAUAAAAUUCAAUCCGAGGGAAGUUUAGUCAUUGUAGCUUAUGUCACUUACCUGUCUUUUAUAUUCGUUGCCACGUUUGCCCAUCAUACCUAUCUUCUAGAUGUUUCUUCUUGGAGUUCUCAGUUCUACUCAUGGAUCAGCUCUUCAUAGCAGAUACGCAGUGGAUAGCUGGUCAGAAUUCAUUGACGUGCUACUUAUUGAAGGUUCCGCAUUUUAGCUGCUUUUGUUGAGUUCGUUGGUGUUGAACGUCUUUUCUUUUUCCAGUUCGUUUGAAAGCUCUGUUGAAGAUUGCUGAUCACCACGACAAGGAGAUUGCCUAUGCUUUUAGUACCAAUUUUGAGGAUAAAAGAUAUGGCUCGAGGCAGAGGUCGAGGUAGCGAAGGUCGUGUAGGAAAGUCCUCAUUUAGGUGUGAUUCUACUGGUCAUGCAAACAUGCCUACCAUUCCCAUUCCCACCACAGUUAGUCCUCAACAAGGUGGUACGAGUUUCAUAGGUGGGACAGAUCCUAUAAACCAAGUUCAAACUUUAAGUACGCCACCGGUUCAAGCCUCAAGUCUGUUUAUUGAUCCUCGCAUAUAAUAUAUUGAUCUUUGUAAUAUAAUAUAUUGGAAUUCAACAAUGUUUCUUGUAAUAUAAUAUAUUGAUCUUGGGAUACCCCACAUUAUCUAAAACAAAGUCUUUGCAUUGUUGAGAUGAUAACUGGAAAAAAUUGAAUG